AUGGCCAAGUAUGGCCGUGUGUACAGUGACGUUGCUGAGAAAGCACAGCGGCUAGAGGUGUUCAAGACCAAUGUCGCGUUCAUCGAGUCGGUGAAUGCAGGGAACGACAAGUUCUGGCUCGAGGCUAACCAGUUUGCCGAUAUCACCGAAAAUGAAUUCAGGGCUACGCACACGGGGUAUAAGGCGCCGGUGGGUGGUAACAAGGGCAGGAAGACGGGGUUCAGGUAUGCGAACGUUAGCCUCGAUGCUCUCCCGACGUCUGUGGACUGGAGAACGAAAGGCGCGGUCACUCCCAUCAAAGACCAAGGCCAAUGUGGCUGUUGCUGGGCCUUCUCCACGGUGGCCUCCAUGGAAGGCAUCGUGAAGCUGAGCACCGGGAAACUGAUCUCACUGUCGGAGCAGGAGCUGGUGGACUGUGAUGUGGACGGCAUGGACCAGGGGUGCGAGGGCGGGCUCAUGGACAACGCCUUCGAGUUCAUCAUUGACAACGGCGGCCUGACCACCGAGGGCAACUACCCCUACACAGGCACUGACGGCAGCUGCAACUCCAACAAGGAGUCCAACGCCGCAGCGUCCAUCAAGGGGUACGAGGACGUGCCGGCCAAUGAUGAGGCGUCGCUUCAGAAGGCGGUGGCCGCGCAGCCCGUGUCCGUGGCCGUCGAUGGAGGGGACAACCUCUUCCGGUUCUACAAGGGCGGUGUUCUCUCUGGCGAUUGUGGCACGGAGCUCGACCACGGCAUUGCGGCAAUUGGGUACGGCGUCGCCAGCGACGGGACCAAGUACUGGGUGAUGAAGAACUCGUGGGGCACAUCAUGGGGCGAGAAUGGCUUCAUCCGGAUGGAGAGGGACAUCACCGACGAGCAAGGCCUCUGCGGACUCGCCAUGCAGCCUUCCUACCCAACGGCAUAG
rnacentral:rRNA from 1 species